rfam:Triticum aestivum genome assembly, contig: Triticum_aestivum_CS42_TGACv1_scaffold_158083_2DL
UUUCUACUCCCUCUGUUCGGAAAUACUUGUCGGAGAAAUCGAUGUAUCUAGAACUAAAAUACGUCUAGAUACAUCCAUCUCUUCGAUGAGUAUUUCCGAACGGAGGGAGUAUAAU